UAGCCUUUCAGCUCUGCUGCUGUGUAGGCUUUAGAUGAGUGAUCUUUGAGAGAAACGAGACACCAGACUGGAAACAGAAGACCCACGGCAAUCUGAUGUACUCUUGACCUUCUGUUAAGUUACUGAAAUCUAACUUUAUCAAUAAUGAAUAUAAUUCUGUUAUGGAAAUCCCACCCACCACUCAUACAACCUUCACUGCAAAGACUGGGAAUUAUUGUGAAAAGAAAAAGAAGGAUUGACUAGAAAUACAUCUGCUGCCACAGAGAGAACGUUGCAUCAGAGACUCCCAUUGCCAUCCGAACACUGACUGACCAUCCUGUUGAAGAGCUUCAAUUCCUCAUGAGAGUGUCAUCCUAUGCAAAAGAUCUCAAUAAAUCAGGUACGUUUUAUUUGGUUUUUGUUUGCUUGCUUUUUUAACAAACAGCCUGUCAGUAUCUGCACAACACAUCCAGGUUGGCCAGACCGUCCUCUUCCUCCCUGCACUUUAUAACUCUUAUUCCCAUUGUGUACACAGGUUUACUGAAGAAGCCAGUGCAUUUUAAUAAAGAGACAAGCCCUCCUAAAGUUUGUGCAGUGUUUAAUACUUUGUGUCUCAGUUAUAAUGGCUCCAAGUAAUGUGUCUUAUAUUACACAUGCUUAGCAUACAAGCACCUUUCUCAUUAUCUCUUUAUUGUGGGUUUCAUUAACAGUAAUUUGUGUUUUUUCCCCCUACAUUUGGACCACUGUACUAAGUGAAGUGCUAAAAAAUGAAAAGCUAAACAAGUCUGCAGGCUCAGCAAGGAUUAGUCUUUCAAGACCUGCUAAAAUGCUCAGCUCCAUAUUUCUGAAGAUCUAUGGAUUACCAGCAUCUCAUAAAGUCUCUCAGACAAGACUACAAAGGUCAAACAAGUUCUCAGACAGUCUUCUUGUUCCGUCUGAUCUUGUCCUCCGUCCAAUCCUCUUUGAAGGACCCUGACAUCAAUGAGUGAAACAGCAGACCCUGACAGUUUUCUGUCUGGCAGUACUUGAAUUGCUUAGGCAAUUUGCCUAAGUAAGUGGUUUGCCCUUGUAAUGAUGUGUUUUCAUGUAGAGACUGAAAUGAGAGGGC